rnacentral:rRNA from 1 species
GUGGGGAAUUUUGGACAAUGGGCGCAAGCCUGAUCCAGCAAUGCCGCGUGCAGGAAGAAGGCCUUCGGGUUGUAAACUGCUUUUGUACGGAACGAAACGGUCCUGGUUAAUACCUGGGGCUAAUGACGGUACCGUAAGAAUAAGCACCGGCUAACUACGUGCCAGCAGCCGCGGUAAUACGUAGGGUGCAAGCGUUAAUCGGAAUUACUGGGCGUAACGCGUGCGCAGGCGGUUUUGUAAGACAGGCGUGAAAUCCCCGGGCUCAACCUGGGAAUUGCGCUUGUGACUGCAAGGCUGGAGUGCGGCAGAGGGGGAUGGAAUUACGCGUGUAGCAGUGAAAUGCGUAGAUAUGCGGAGGAACACCGAUGGCGAAGGCAAUCCCCUGGGCCUGCACUGACGCUCAUGCACGAAAGCGUGGGGAGCAAACAGGAUUAGAUACCCCAGUAGUCC